GGACUACUCGGGUAUCUAAUCCCAUUCGCUACCCACGCUUUCGUGUUUCAGCGUCAGGAGUGCGCCAGUAUAUUGCCUUCGCUUUUGGUGUUCCCCAUAAUAUCAACGGAUUUCACCCCUACACUAUGAGUUCCAUAUACCUCUCGCAUCCUCAAGUCGUGCCGUUUCCCCUGCGGAACUCCGGUUAAGCCGGAGAUUUUAACAGAAGACUAACACGACCGCCUACACACCCUUUACGCCCAAUAAUUCCGGAUAACGCUUGGAGCACUCGUAUUACCGCGGCGGCUGGCAC
rnacentral:rRNA from 1 species